GUGGGGAAUCUUCCGCAAUGGACGAAAGUCUGACGGAGCAACGCCGCGUGAGUGAAGAAGGUUUUCGGAUCGUAAAGCUCUUUCGUUAGGGACGAACGUGCUCUUUGUGAAUAAUGAGGAGUAAUGACGGUACCUAAAUAAGAAGCCACGGCUAACUACGUUCCAGCAGCCGCGGUAAUACGUAGGUGGCAAGCGUUGUCCGGUAUUAUUGUACGUAAAGCGCGCGCAGGCGGGAUAUCAAGUCUGUCUUAAAAGUGCGAGGCUCAACCUCGUGAGGGGACAGAAACUGGUAUUCUUGAGUGUCGGAGAGGAAAGUGGAAUUCCAAGUGUAGCGGUGAAAUGCGUAGAGAUUUGGAAGAGCACCAGUGGCGAAGGCGACUUUCUGGACGAUGUCUGAGGCUGAGGCGCGAAAGCUAGGGGAGCGAACGGGAUUAGAUACCCUAGUAGUCC
rnacentral:rRNA from 1 species